GCCGCAUCAGUCACAUUAUUUGGUGCACAAGAGACACUGAAACCUUUGGUGGGGGGCAAUAAUCGGUCAAGAGGCUUGGGGAGGCCAGGAGAAGGGGAAGAAGGAACAGGACUUUACAGACAUAUUGGGGUAAAUCUUGAGCACCAGAUCCUUGGAUUCUUCUUGGUAAAGGACCGCCAGAGGACUCAUCCUCUCUGGGACGCAGCAGGGCUCCGGAACCCCGGAAAUAAUCCCGACGGCUCUGACUAUGCUUUGAAUGGUGGCGUGGUUUGAGGGUCUCACCACCUGGUGAUAGUUAAAGAAGAGGUUGAGGAAAUCCACAUGUGCCUGAGCAAUAGUAGGCGUCAAAGGCCUUGGGUGCUAUGACCCACUCGCUCCAGCCAAUGUCUGCAAAAUCCACUCUGAGGUUCUUUCUGGAGCAGCCGUGGUGCACAGUGUUUCCCCACUGCUUUCUUCUGGCUUUGCGCAUGGUUUCAUCAUCAAAAUUCAAAACAGCUUGGACAUGUGUUGGAGGAGGACGUCCUGGUCCAGGUCACCUGAGGACGACGGCUGAGGGAAGCUUGCGUCCUGUGCGCUCGUGGAGCCAGCUGGCUGCGCAAGCCCCACCGACGCGACACAGAGGAAACACUUGAACACCAACAGGGGCAGGGCUGACGAUACUAGCCGAGAGGACGGAACACUGACGGGUUGACUUCAUCCCUCCCAUCCAUGUCAGUGCUGUUUCUACAUAACUGUUACACCAAAAAAGAUCAUCUGCCAGAACGCAGCCACCGUGGAGGGUAGCGGUCCUUGGCAGGAGAUGUAGGAGAGUUCCUCAGCUCCCGCUUGCAUGCGGAUGUAGCUGGCGUUGAUGUAGUCGUGCUUCUCUCCGAGGGUGACGCGAGUUUUGUCGUCUGCGGAUGGAAAAGAGGACACACAACCAGGGUUUUUGCUUGACCAAAUCAUGGACAAUGUACAGAUCAUACCAGGGGGGCGCUCUGCUGGUUUAUUCAUCAUGGCGUCAGGAGAGGACGAGGCAUCAGAGGUGGAAACUGGAGCUGGCUGCUCUGCCAAAACGGCCUGGGCGCCUGCGGCCAUGUUGGGCGGUGUGGGGGAUUCGGAAUAGCUCAGCGGCAGGAUGUCUCUGCAGAUGACUCCUCACCGUUCCAUUUGGCCUUGGGUGUCACUGGCUGGUCAUCUCUGGAACAUCGGAAAGACACAAACAGCAGCGCUUUGACAGCGUCAUCCAAGGUCAUCCCCAAAGUGCACCUGCCGCAGAUGUAGAGGAUCUUGUCAUUAGGUUGGACGCUGCCCUCUUCACUGGCCGGGGAGCCUGGCACUACCUCCAGACAGUAAAUGCCCUGCCAUUUGCUGCCAAUGCCACCGGUCCAUCUGGCACAAUGGAAGCAAUGAAUAUACCAAGGUCGAGUUUACCUGUAUUGUCCUCGCCUACGAUCACAAAGCCUGCAACGGGACCACGGCGGAGGCAGAGACAGAAGUCCUCAUUGAAACAAUUAGGGAAGUGUCUCUUCUCGUGAAUUUUACUUGACAGCUCACAGCUAAGUGCUGCAUGGAAAACUCACCAAAGCCAAGUUUGGGAUCCCUCUUGAGGCUUACACAGAUAAUUUCUCUCUCUGGUGGAGUCCUGGUUGGUGUGUCAACUGGAAAUAUUGAACAGAAACCCUGUUAAUCCUGCAUUAUGUAGUUGGCAACUAUAGAUGUGAGGAUAACCAUGACAAAUAUACUACAGUAUAAAAUAUCACGUUCAAUUACAUGUUUAAGUGGUGAAUGAGAUUGUAGUCAGGCACUUAAAAAUAAGAUUAUGCUAAUUAAGGCUUUCUAAAUUGGUUAUUAAUUAGCUUGUUAAGGCUUUACAAAGACAUUUGGUGCUAUACUAUGGAAAAGUGACUUUUUUUUGUAUACAAAUUGUUGGGUCUCUGGCCACAUAAAUCUUUAUGCCUUUUUCUGAAUAUAUGUCUGGGCGUUAGCUUUUCUCUCAUCCAACCCACAGUUAUGUAACCUUUGUUGUCAUCCAUUCAUCCAUUUUCUUUGCCGCUUAGCCUCACGAGGGUCACCGGGAGUGCUGGAGCCUAUCCCAGCUGUCAACGGGCAGGAGGCGGGGUACACCCUGAACUGGUUGCCAGCCAAUCGCAGGGCACAUAGAGAGCACAAACAGCCGCACUCGCAAUCACACCUAGGGGCAAUUUAGUGUUCAAUUAAUGUUGCAUGUUUUUGAGAUGUGGGAUGAAAACGGAGUGCCCGGAGAAAACCCACGCAGGGACGGGGAGAACAUGCAAAAUCCACACAGGCGGACCUAGUAAUCUCUGAAAACACUACGUAUAGCCAAAAGCGGAGUUGCGUUGACUUGUUGGAUGUGCAGAUUUGCGUUAGCUCACAGCAUUUUGUUCUGUUACAAUUAUUUCUUGGUGAAGUUGUUGAUGGAGUGAGGCUGUGCACAAUAGUUAGCAAGAAUCUUGGAGAAAGUUCUUUCACAUGACCAUCAGAGCCAGGAAAUUUCUUGGGUGCUGUGCGACCACCGUUUUGUUUUGGUGGCUUCCAAGGAGAACUACAACAUGGGAAAAGCCAUCAAAAUAGUUAAAAAUACUUCACCUCGUAUAGAAGAAGAAGUAUCCGAGUCUUUCUGCAGCGAGACACUGGACAUCAGUCUUGGAAUCGAUUCUGGUGUGCUUUAAAAAAAAAGCAUAAAGAGAAAAUAAACUUUCAUAAUGCAGAGAGACGAUGAAAGCUAUUAUCUUACAGUAUGCCAUUACUUCCAGUAGGGACGCUCUUUCAGAUCUUCCCCGGUUUCAGGCGGCUCCUUGUUCAGCUCCCUGCUCAUCUCCCGCCUCAUCUCUCUCCGAUGGCGAAGUCGAGCCUCCAGCUUUACACUCAGGUCCUCGCAAGAUUUGGACAGCAGAUCCGGUUGACCCGGGGCUAAACCGACAUGGUUCAGCAUGCCCUCGGAGCAAGACAUCUGCUUCAGACUGUGGUUGAGUUGCCGUGACGUCAUCUCGCUGUGGAACUUGUGCUGUGCGGAGCAUAGGUUGAGGAGAUCCUGGAAGCUCAAGAACAAUUUGCUGUUCGUCAGCCAUUCGGAUAAAUUCGGGACCCAAAGCCUGGUAAGAAAAUGAGCAGAUGACAAUAAUAAUGUUAAAUGGAUCACACUGACUUUGUUUGUACUUCUUAUGUCCCUAAAUUCAGUUUCCUGCAUGCGUAACUGCCAUUUGCGUUACCCACAAUACCCGCAAGACAACAGAAAUCCAAUAAAAAAAGCAUUGCCAAAUGUUCACGUAUUCCCUCAGUUUUAAACAGUAUGUUAUCCAACCAAGUGGUUUUAUAAGCUGGUGUAUUCUUACCUUAGCUUUCCUCUGGCUCAAGCUGAUGGAGGACUCGCUGAAGGUGAUGGAAGGACUGUGAGAC